GAUGAACGCUAGCGGCAGGCUUACUUUUUGCAAGUCGAGGGGCAGCGCGGGUAGCAAUACCUGGCGGCGACCGGCAAACGGGUGCGGAACACGUACGCAACCUUCCCAAAACUGGUGAAUAGCCUUUCAAAAGAAAGAUUAAUACACCGUAAAAUAAUGAAAAGGCAUCUCUUUAUUAUUAUAGUAGCAAUACGGUUUUGGAUGGGCGUGCGGCUGAUUAGGUAGUUGGCGGGGUAACGGCCCACCAAGCCUGCGAUCAGUAACUGGUGUGAGAGCACGACCAGUCACACGGGCACUGAAACACGGGCCCAACUCCUACGGGAGGCAGCAGUAAGGAAUAUUGGUCAAUGGACGCAAGUCUGAACCAGCCAUGCCGCGUGAAGGAUGAAGGUCCUCUGGAUUGUAAACUUCUUUUAUCUGGGACAAAAAAAGGGAAUUCUUUCUCACUUGACGGUACCAAAGGAAUAAGCACCGGCUAACUCCGUGCCAGCAC
rnacentral:rRNA from 1 species